CCAACUGAGUGAUCAGUGGCACUCACUGGCUGAGAAAUUCACUGCAGGGAGUUUUCCCUGCAGUCCCUGAGUGGCUGUAGUGGAGGUGGAGGGUGGCUCACACCAGAGCCCUCACCAAGUCCAAGC